AGCAGCCGCGGUAAUUCCAGCUCCAAUAGCGUAUAUUAAAGUUGUUGCAGUUAAAAGCUCGUAGUUGAAUUUCGGGAUCAAUUAAUUGGUCGUGCCUCUGGUACGUACUGAUUUUAUUGGUUUCUCCCUUCUGACGAACCAUGAUGUCAUUAAUUUGGUGUCGUGGAGAAUCAGGACUGUUACUUUGAAAAAAUUAGAGUGUUUAAAGCAAGCUAACGCUUGAAUACAUUAGCAUGGAAUAAUGAAAUAGGACGUUUGAUCCUAUUUUGUUGGUUUCUAGGAUCGACGUAAUGAUUAAUAGGGAUAGUUGGGGGCAUUAGUAUUCAAUUGUCAGAGGUGAAAUUCUUGGAUUUAUUGAAGACUAACUGCUGCGAAAGCAUUUGCCAAGGAUGUUUUCAUUAAUCAAGAACGAAAGUUAGGGGAUCGAAGACGAUCAGAUACCGUCGUAGUCUUAACCAUAAACUAUGCCGACUAGGGAUCGGAUGAUGUUAAUUUUUUAAUGACUCAUUCGGCGCCUUAC
rnacentral:rRNA from 1 species